rnacentral:tRNA from 1 species
AUUUAUAUAGCUUAUCUAUAGAGCAUUACAUUGAAGCUGUAAAGGUGAUUUUUAUCUAUGAAUA